rnacentral:snRNA from 1 species
GAUUAAAGGAGGUCAAUUGGUCC